GACGAACGCUGGCGGCGUGCUUAACACAUGCAAGUCGAACGGAAAGGCCCUGCUUUUGUGGGGUGCUCGAGUGGCGAACGGGUGAGUAACACGUGAGUAACCUGCCCUAGACUUUGGGAUAACUUCAGGAAACUGGGGCUAAUACCGGAUAGGAGCUCCUGCUGCAUGGUGGGGGUUGGAAAGUUUCGGCGGUUGGGGAUGGACUCGCGGCUUAUCAGCUUGUUGGUGGGGUAGUGGCUUACCAAGGCUUUGACGGGUAGCCGGCCUGAGAGGGUGACCGGCCACAUUGGGACUGAGAUACGGCCCAGACUCCUACGGGAGGCAGCAGUGGGGAAUAUUGCACAAUGGGAGGAAGCCUGAUGCAGCAACGCCGCGUGCGGGAUGACGGCCUUCGGGUUGUAAACCGCUUUCGCCUGUGACGAAGCGUGAGUGACGGUAAUGGGUAAAGAAGCACCGGCUAACUACGUG
rnacentral:rRNA from 1 species